CUACGGGCUGCAGCAGUGAGGAAUUUUGCGCAAUGGGGGAACCCUGACGCAGCAACGCCGCGUGAGUGAUGAAGGCUUUCGGGUCGUAAAGCUCUGUCAAGUGGGAAGAACCUAUGCAGUGUUAAUAUCACUGUAUACUGACGGUACCACUGAAGGAAGCACCGGCUAACUCCGUGCCAGCAGCCGCGGUAAUACGGGGGGUGCAAGCGUUAUUCGGAAUCAUUGGGCGUAAAGGGCACGUAGGCGGCUUGGUAAGUCAGAUGUGAAAGCCCGGGGCUUAACCCCGGAAGUGCAUUUGAUACUGUCAGGCUUGAGUAUGGGAGAGGGAAGUGGAAUUCCUGGUGUAGAGGUGAUAUUCGUAGAUAUCAGGAGGAACACCGGUGGCGAAGGCGACUUCCUGGACCAAUACUGACGCUGAGGUGCGAAGGCGUGGGUAGCAAACAGGAUUAGAUACCCUCGUAGUC
rnacentral:rRNA from 1 species